rnacentral:rRNA from 1 species
UACGUAGGUGGCAAGCGUUGUCCGGAUUUACUGGGCGUAAAGGGCGUGCAGGCGGUCUGUUAAGUGCAGGGUGAAAGCUCCCGGCUCAACUGGGAGAGGUCCUUGCAUACUGGCGGACUUGAGGGGGGUAGAGGAAAGUGGAAUUCCCGGUGUAGUGGUGAAAUGCGUAGAUAUCGGGAGGAACACCAGUGGCGAAGGCGACUUCCUGGCCUGUUCUUGACGCUGAGGCGCGAAAGCUAGGGUAGCAAACGGG